GGGCGGCUAGCUCAGUUGGUUAGAGCGCUGCUUUCACACGGCAGAGGUCACAGGUUCGAAUCCCGCGCCGCCCA
rnacentral:tRNA from 1 species